GUUCCUAUAUCAAAUAAGAAAAAUCUGUCAAAUUUAUUUUUAAUCUUGUCCACCCUAAUGGCAGAACCUAAGUUUUCGUGAAGAUUCUAUUUAUCAUGUCCAAAUUACAAAGACAAUUGCAGUAUAAUAGGAUGUGCAGUAUUUCAUUCAUAAUAUUCAAUUUACCAUCACAAGUAUUCAGAUCACAAACUGGGCAUCGUACAAGCUGCAGGUCUGAAAAUUUAACCGUAUCAACAAAUAUAAGUUCUUUUCAAUAGUCCUGAGAUAUAGAAGUUGGCUUGGUUGGGAGGUACCAGCUAUCCAGAUUCCAGGUUUAACGUUUUCUACCACGCAACAACCUUGGGACCGCAACAUCUUUUCCAAGGUUUCACGCUCCUUGAUCUUCCCCGGAAAAGAAAGCCUCUCAGCCAGGAUGGCUACUGAAGAAUCAAAAGAAAAAGCGCCAAUACGCAUCCAAUCUGAUAGCACAUUGGAAACAGUUAGUUACAAGAUCAAUAAUUUUGCUUAUGCUCCCUGUGAACACAUUAACAAUUGUGCAUGGAAUCUACUACAAUUUGUUGUGAGUUACACGGCCUUUGCAAUAAUAUUAUCGUCUCCUACGUUUAA